GAGAGCGCCUGCUUUGCACGCAGGAGGUCAGCGGUUCGAUCCCGCUAGGCUCCACCA
rnacentral:tRNA from 1 species